rnacentral:rRNA from 1 species
CACGCCCUAAACGAUGCGAACUGGAUGUUGGGCUCAACUUGGAGCUCAGUAUCGAAGCUAACGCGUUAAGUUCGCCGCCUGGGGANCAACGCGAAGAACCUUACCUGGCCUUGACAUGCACGGAAUCCUUUAGAGAUAGAGGAGUGCCUUCGGGAACCGUGACACAGGUGC